GACGAACGCUGGCGGCGUGCUUAACACAUGCAAGUCGAACGGAAAGGCCCUGCUUUUGUGGGGUGCUCGAGUGGCGAACGGGUGAGUAACACGUGAGUAACCUGCCCUUGACUUUGGGAUAACUUCAGGAAACUGGGGCUAAUACCGGAUAGGAGCUCCUGCUGCAUGGUGGGGGUUGGAAAGUUUCGGCGGUUGGGGAUGGAAUGGCGGCUUAUCAGCUUGUUGGUGGGGUAGUGGCUUACCAAGGGUUUGAAGGGUAGCCGGCCUGAGAGGGUGACCGGCCACAUUGGGACUGAGAUACGGCGCAGACGCCUACGGGAGGCAGCAGGGGGGAAUAUUGCACAAUGGGCGGAAGCCUGAUGCAGCAACGUCGCGUGCGGGAUGACGGCCUUCGGGGUGUAAACCGCUUUCGCCUGUGACGAAGCGGGAGUGACGGUAAUGGGUAAAGAAGCACCGGCUAACUACGUG
rnacentral:rRNA from 1 species